CUUGAGUGUGACGGUAUCUCCAAUGACGACAGGAGGAAGAGAUUCAGUAGUAACGGUUAAAUAACCUGCCAAGGAGAAAACAGUGGAAGAUAAGACUCCUGCAGUGAAUAGAAAGGUUCUGCACUGAGAAGCUUCUCACAGUCAAUAGUCCUGUAGUUUCUUAUACUAUUCACUGCUGCUCUGUUGUAUAUACAUCAAGGCUGAGGCAUGUUGUUGCUGAGGACUUUAUUUAUUUGAAAUCUGUACUUCCCAAAUUCCACCAACAUUGUUAAGUGCUCUACCACGGGGCAACAGGACACUGGACCAUGUGCACAGUAACAUCAAGGGCCUACCAAGCCACACCCCUCCCACACCUCAGACAAUAUGACCAAUUCUCUCUGCUCUUCAUCCGUUCUUAAACCACCCUGAGGAAACAAACCCCUCCAAGCACCCAGGUCACUAAAACAUGGCCAGAUGAUGCUCUCAUCCAGCUACAGGACUGUUUUGAUCUGACAGACUGAUCCAUCUUUGAACAGCAGGACCUGGAGACCUUCACUUAGUCUGUCCUUUUGUACAUUAAGUGCUGUGUAGAGAAUGUAACAGUUUCUCCUAACUGGAAACCUCGGAUCACGAGAGAAGUACAGGCUCUGAUCAGAACUCGUAACUCGGCCUUCAGGCUGAGGGACAGUUUUCUGUACCGCACUGCCAGAGCAAACCUGAGGAGGGGUGUCAAACAAGCUAAGGAGGCUCACAGGAGGAGGAUGAGGCCUUCAGCUUCACACUUAGCAGAGCAGCUCAACAACUUCUAAGCUCAGCAUCACCUGACCUCCCCCUCCUUCUCACCCAGCACACUCCCUGGAGGAGCAUGAGGUUAGGAGGCGACUGAGAGUGGUGAACUCCAAGAGAGCUUUCUAUGAUGGCAUCCCAGGGGCUGUGGUCAAGGCCUGUGCAGACCAACUGGAAGAAGAUCUUCAUCAGGUUGUUUAACCUCUGCCUGAUUCAUGCCAAUAUUACCACCUGUCUAAAGGCCUCCAUUAUGAUUCCCAUUCCCUAAAAGCCUGUAAUAGACAGCUUCAAUGACUACAGAUCUAUACCCCCUACAUCAGCAGUCAUGAAGUGUUUCAAGCAGAUAGUGUCUCAGCAUAUCAGAGACUGCCUACUUCUCUGGACCCCUACCACUUUGCUUACAGAGCAAAUCGGUCCACAGAGGAUACCACCUGAUCCUGAAUCAUCACCACCAACCAGCCCAAAUCAGUCAGACUCAGCCCCAGCCUCUUCCCCCCACUGUCACUUUCUUACUCCUGACUUCUUCGUGUAGUACCACAGUUUCUAGCACCCUAUCAUAUGCUUUCUUUGGAGCUUCCUUCUGACCUUCUUAAUUAACAAUCCCAAAACAAACAUUGCAUCUUUAUUGCUCUUUCUUGGCCUGAAGUCAUACUGCUGCUUGCUAAAUGUUACCUCUCUUCUUAAGCUAGCUUCAAUACUCUCUCCCACAUCGUCAUCCUAUGGCUCAUCAGCUUUGUCCUUCUGUAGUGAUGUCCUUUGGCUCUGCACAUCACUCUUGUUCUUGAAAUCACUACCAGUGCGCUUGUUCUCCAUUCCUCAGACAUCCUCUCACCCUCCAAGACUGUGUUAAACUACCUGGUUGGACAGUCCACCACACUCUCUCCUAUCUACACAACUCCACAGGUAUGUCAUGUGGACCAACUGCUUUCCAUUCUUCAUCCUCUUCAUAGCUGCCCCCGCUUUCUCUUUAUUAAUUCAAUUUCAAUUCAAUUCAAUUCAAUUUUAUUUAUAUAGCGCCAAAUCACAACAAAAGUUGCCUCAAGGCGCUUUAUAUUGUACAGUAGAUCGCACAAUAAUGCUAAUUACUGCACUUCACUGAUUCACUGACUUUCCUGUAUCCCUUCUCCUCCCUCUCUCAUUUUCUGCAUUCAUCAGCUCCUCAAAACACUCCUUUAUCUUCUCAAUGGCCUGUUGUCAUGUAGCAGUGAAGGCUUGAUAUAGGACCCAAAAUGCAGACUAAUUGGGAAAAUUAAACUUAAACACAGCUUUAUUGCUAAAUGACUGAGUACUGCCAAGACUCAAGAAACCUAAACUGAGAUACCAGCCGGAACACACAGCCAGAGGAUGAGGGAGAUCGCCACACUGGACAGAGGGAGACACAGACAGUAAAUACAUCAGAGGGGGUCAGAGGAGAGAUGAAACACCUGGGGAACACGGGUGAAGAAAAUCAAUUAACAAGACAGGGGAAGAACAACCAAGUAUAGAACACACAGGACUCUUCUGUAACCCUGGAGAGUUACUAAGGGUUUUAGUGUGUUAUGAAUGAUGUUAGUAUUUGGAGUUCACUGUUAAGUUUUAUUAAGUUAAAUUAUUUUGUUGAGAAUUAAUAAAAUAUAAGAUGUCUAUAAUGCCGUGAUGGUCCUUGAAGUAUACAGGGGGAAGUACCGCCUCCUGCCGUUCACUGCGUAGCAGCUACGAAUAUCAGGAAAAAGGGAGAGGAAGAAAAAAAGUCCGUCUUUUCCAAGUGGAAAGCGUGGUUGCUUUUAUUCAGUCGGAUUGUACGGUGGAAAUAAACUAUCUGGAAAGUGUUGUUAACCAGAAAGGAAUUUUGUUACUGCUCGGAUUCUUCUGGUUGUGCUGCAACGCUGCACCAUCGCCAUUUUGAAGCUCCAGGAGAGCCCAUUUUGUUGGUUACUUUGGUAAGAAGUUAUCAUUGUCCAUGUUUUGGAAUAUUCUCUCAUUCUUUCUGUAUACUGGAAAGGUAAAAUGCAAAUUUCUUAGUAUGUAUGAACGAAACAUAAGAAAGGAUAUAUGUAUAAAUGACUAAAUAUAGAAUUUUGAAUGUUAUUCUGACUGUGUUAUACAGGUCAGGUUUUUUUGGGGGGGGGGAGUACAGUUCGGUGAUGAUCCAGUCCAAAGAUGGCGAGCCACCCCUCCAGGAUCCUUGAGAUGAUUGUUUUAAGAAGAGAACUAAAUUCUUUGGACGAGCCGUGAACUGUACAACUUCUACUUAAGUGGUAGGACAGAUUUGCACCUCAUUCCUCCUUUGCACAUCCUGCAAGGAGAAUCUUCAUUGCUGGACUCACACUUAAGGGUGUUGGCUGACACGAGAGAGAGACUGAGUCAAAUCCCCUGGGGGUGUGUGUGUUAUAUUUAUUAUUUUCCAUGACUUGGGCCCAAUUUUUCCUUUCAUGUACUGUUAUUGUUUUCAUUGUAUGUAUGUGAGAUUCUUUAAUUGUGAAUACAAAUCGAUCAAACCAAGUUCUCUGAGCGUUUCAUUAGUCAUCCACUUUGCUCCAGUAGUCGAACCUCAGCUAUUGGCCCAACACACAGGCAACCAUUUAAAUCUGUAUCCCAAGUGUUGAAAGGGGUGUUACA